AUUAGAGCUGAGAGUGUCUAUUAAGUUACGAUAUGAGAAUGAAACGAAUACUUGUUGAUUUCAAAAUACUUCGAACAAAUUUAAGAAAGCUCCUUUUACCUAAGACAAUAAUCUGCGUAUUGAACUAAAGGUCCUGUUGACCUCAAUUUAGUUUCAAAUUAUGAAUUUGGUCCCGUUGGCCACAAAGAGUAUAAGAAGUUUGAAUUAGAGUUGAGAGUGUGUAUUUUAGCUACGAUAUGAGAAUGUCAAUAAUCUGCGUAUUGAAAUUAAGAUCCCGUUGGCCUGAGAUUAUUCUGAAAUUAUGAAUUUGGUCCCGUUGGCCACAAAAAAUAUAAGAUAAUUGAAAGUUGAGUGUGUAUUUUAGCUACGAUAUGAGAAUGACAAUAAUCUGCGUAUUGAAAUUAAGGUCCCGUUGGCCUGAGUUUAUUCUGAAAUUAUGAAUUUGGUCCCGUUGGCCACACAAAAAUUAAGAUGAUUGAAUUAGAGUUGAGAGUGUCUAUUAAGUUACGAUAUGAGAAUGAAACGAAUACUUGUUGAUUUCAAAAUACUUCGAACAAAUUUAAGAAAGCUCCUUUUACCUAAGACAAUAAUCUGCGUAUUGAACUAAAGGUCCUGUUGACCUCAAUUUAGUUUCAAAUUAUGAGUUUGGUCCCGUUGGCCACAAAAAAUAUAAGAUAAUUGAAAGUUGAGUGUGUAUUUUAGCUACGAUAUGAGAAUGACAAUAAUCUGCGUAUUGAAAUUAAGGUCCCGUUGGCCUGAGUUUAUUCUGAAAUUAUGAAUUUGGUCCCGUUGGCCACACAAAAAUUAAGAUGAUUGAAUUAGAGUUGAGAGUGUCUAUUAAGUUACGAUAUGAGAAUAAAACGAAUACUUGUUGAUUUCAAAAUACUUCGAACAAAUUUAAGAAAGCUCCUUUUACCUAAGACAAUAAUCUGCGUAUUGAACUAAAGGUCCUGUUGACCUCAAUUUAGUUUCAAAUUAUGAAUUUGGUCCCGUUGGCCACAAAGAGUAUAAGAAGUUUGAAUUAGAGUUGAGAGUGUGUAUUUUAGCUACGAUAUGAGAAUGUCAAUAAUCUCCGUAUUGAAAUUAAGGUCCCGUUGGCCUGAGAUUAUUCUGAAAUUAUGAAUUUGGUCCCGUUGGCCACACAAAAAUUAAGAUGAUUGAAUUAGAGUUGAGAGUGUCUAUUAAGUUACGAUAUGAGAAUGAAACGAAUACUUGUUGAUUUCAAAAUACUUCGAACAAAUUUAAGAAAGCUCCUUUUACCUAAGACAAUAAUCUGCGUAUUGAACUAAAGGUCCUGUUGACCUCAAUUUAGUUUCAAAUUAUGAAUUUGGUCCCGUUGGCCACAAAGAGUAUAAGAUGAUUGAAUUAGAGUUGAGAGUGUGUAUUUUAGCUACGAUAUGAGAAUGACAAUAAUCUGCGUAUUGAAAUUAAGGUCCCGUUGGCCUGAGUUUAUUCUGAAAUUAUGAAUUUGGUCCCGUUGGCCACAAAGAGUAUAAGAAGAUUGAAUUAGAGUUAAGAGUGUGUAUUAAGUUACGAUAUGAGAAUGUCAAUAAUCUGCGUAUUGAAAUUAAGGUCCCGUUGGCCUGAGUUUAUUCUGAAAUUAUGAAUUUGGUCCCGUUGGCCACACAAAAAUUAAGAUGAUUGAAUUAGAGUUGAGAGUAUCUAUUAAGUUACGAUAUGAGAAUGAAACGAAUACUUGUUGAUUUCAAAAUACUUCGAACAAAUUUGAGAAAGCUCCUUUUACCUAAGACAAUAAUCUGCGUAUUGAACUAAAGGUCCUGUUGACCUCAAUUUAGUUUCAAAUUAUGAAUUUGGUCCCGUUGGCCACAAAGAGUAUAAGAAGUUUGAAUUAGAGUUGAGAGUGUGUAUUUUACCUACGAUAUGAGAAUGUCAAUAAUCUGCGUAUUGAAAUUAAGGUCCCGUUGGCCUGAGAUUAUUCUGAAAUUAUGAAUUUGGUCCCGUUGGCCACACAAAAAUUAAGAUGAUUGAAUUAGAGUUGAGAGUGUCUAUUAAGUUACGAUAUGAGAAUGAAACGAAUACUUGUUGAUUUCAAAAUACUUCGAACAAAUUUAAGAAAGCUCCUUUUACCUAAGACAAUAAUCUGCGUAUUGAACUAAAGGUCCUGUUGACCUCAAUUUAGUUUCAAAUUAUGAAUUUGGUCCCGUUGGCCACAAAAAAUAUAAGAUAAUUGAAAGUUGAGUGUGUAUUUUAGCUACGAUAUGAGAAAGACAAUAAUCUGCGUAUUGAUAUUAAGGUCCUGUUGACCUCAAUUUAGUUUUAAAUUAUGAAUUUGGUCCCGUUGGCCACAAAGAGUAUAAGAAGAUUGAAUUAGAGUUGAGAGUGUGUAUUUUAGCUACGAUAUGAGAAUGUCAAUAAUCUGCGUAUUGAAAUUAAGGUCCCGUUGGCCUGGGAUUAUUCUGAAAUUAUGAAUUUGGUCCCGUUGGCCACACAAAAAUUAAGAUGAUUGAAUUAGAGUUGAGAGUGUCUAUUAAGUUACGAUAUGAGAAUGAAACGAAUACUUGUUGAUUUCAAAAUACUUCGCACAAAUUUAAGAAAGCUACUUUUACCUAAGACAAUAAUCUGCGUAUUGAACUAAAGGUCCUGUUGACCUCAAUUUAGUUUCAAAUUAUGAAUUUGGCCCGUUGGCCACAAAAAAUAUAAGAUAAUUGAAAGUUGAGUGUGUAUUUUAGCUACGAUAUGAGAAUGAUAAUAGUCUGCGUAUUGAAAUUAAGGUCCCGUUGGCCUGAGCUUAUUCUGAAAUUAUGAAUUUGGUCCCGUUGGCCACACAAAAAUUAAGAUGAUUGAAUUAGAGUUGAGAGUGUCUAUUAAGCUACGAUAUGAGAAUGAAACGAAUACUUGUUGAUUUCAAAAUACUUCGAACAAAUUUAAGAAAGCUCCUUUUACCUAAGACAAUAAUCUGCGUAUUGAACUUAAGGUCCUGUUGACCUCAAUUUAGUUUCAAAUUAUGAAUUUGGUCCCGUUGGCCACAAAGAGUAUAAGAAGUUUGAAUUAGAGUUGAGAGUGUGUAUUUUACCUACGAUAUGAGAAUGUCAAUAAUCUGCGUAUUGAAAUUAAGGUCCCGUUGGCCUGAGAUUAUUCUGAAAUUAUGAAUUUGGUCCCGUUGGCCACACAAAAAUUAAGAUGAUUGAAUUAGAGUUGAGAGUGUCUAUUAAGUUACGAUAUGAGAAUGAAACGAAUACUUGUUGAUUUCAAAAUACUUCGAACAAAUUUAAGAAAGCUCCUUUUACCUAAGACAAUAAUCUGCGUAUUGAACUAAAGGUCCUGUUGACCUCAAUUUAGUUUCAAAUUAUGAAUUUGGUCCCGUUGGCCACAAAAAAUAUAAGAUAAUUGAAAGUUGAGUGUGUAUUUUAGCUACGAUAUGAGAAUGAUAAUAGUCUGCGUAUUGAAAUUAAGGUCCCGUUGGCCUGAGUUUAUUCUGAAAUUAUGAAUUUGGUCCCGUUGGCCACACAAAAAUUAAGAUGAUUGAAUUAGAGUUGAGAGUGUCUAUUAAGUUACGAUAUGAGAAUGAAACGAAUACUUGUUGAUUUCAAAAUACUUCGAACAAAUUUAAGAAAGCUCCUUUUACCUAAGACAAUAAUCUGCGUAUUGAACUAAAGGUCCUGUUGACCUCAAUUUAGUUUCAAAUUAUGAAUUUGGUCCCGUUGGCCACAAAGAGUAUAAGAAGUUUGAAUUAGAGUUGAGAGUGUGUAUUUUAGCUACGAUAUGAGAAUGUCAAUAAUCUGCGUAUUGAAAUUAAGGUCCCGUUGGCCUGAGAUUAUUCUGAAAUUAUGAAUUUGGUCCCGUUGGCUACACAAAAAUUAAGAUGAUUGAAUUAGAGUUGAGAGUGUCUAUUAAGUUACGAUAUGAGAAUGAAACGAAUACUUGUUGAUUUCAAAAUACUUCGAACAAAUUUAAGAAAGCUCCUUUUACCUAAGACAAUAAUCUGCGUAUUGAACUAAAGGUCCUGUUGACCUCAAUUUAGUUUCAAAUUAUGAAUUUGGUCCCGUUGGCCACAAAGAGUAUAAGAAGUUUGAAUUAGAGUUGAGAGUGUGUAUUUUAGCUACGAUAUGAGAAUGUCAAUAAUCUGCGUAUUGAAAUUAAGGUCCCGUUGGCCUGAGAUUAUUCUGAAAUUAUGAAUUUGGUCCCGUUGGCCACACAAAAAUUAAGAUGAUUGAAUUAGAGUUGAGAGUGUCUAUUAAGUUACGAUAUGAGAAUGAAACGAAUACUUGUUGAUUUCAAAAUACUUCAAACAAAUUUAAGAAAGCUCCUUUUACCUAAGACAAUAAUCUGCAUAUUGAACUUAAGGUCCUGUUGACCUCAAUUUAGUUUCAAAUUAUGAAUUUGGUCCCGUUGGCCACAAAAAAUAUAAGAUAAUUGAAAGUUGAGUGUGUAUUUUAGCUACGAUAUGAGAAUGACAAUAAUCUGCGUAUUGAAAUUAAGGUCCCGUUGGCCUGAGAUUAUUCUGAAAUUAUGAAUUUGGU